rnacentral:tmRNA from 12 species
GGGGCUGAAAGGAUAUUCGACAUAUUAAUUUCGUGCGCUAUGAUGCAAGCCGAGAAUGCUUAUCUCGUAAAAAAGCAGACAAAGAAAUAAAUGCAAACAAUAUUAUUGAAAUUAGCAAUAUUAGAAAACCAGCUCUAGUAGUCUAGCCUGAUUCAGUUAUUUCUAAAUUAUUUAUGUUAUGUUAUUUAAGCUUGUAGUAACUAUCUAGUGUACAAUUUCUAUGGACGUGGGUUCAAUUCCCACCAGCUCCACAA